GAUGAACGCUGGCGGCGUGCCUAAUACAUGCAAGUCGAGCGAACAGACGAGGAGCUUGCUCCUCUGACGUUAGCGGCGGACGGGUGAGUAACACGUGGAUAACCUACCUAUAAGACUGGGAUAACUUCGGGAAACCGGAGCUAAUACCGGAUAAUAUAUUGAACCGCAUGGUUCAAUAGUGAAAGACGGUUUUGCUGUCACUUAUAGAUGGAUCCGCGCCGCAUUAGCUAGUUGGUAAGGUAACGGCUUACCAAGGCAACGAUGCGUAGCCGACCUGAGAGGGGGGGGCGCCCAAACGGGAACGGAGCCCGGCCCAGGACCCCGCCGGGGGGAGCAGGAAGGGAUUUUCCCGCAAGGGGGGAAGCCCGGAGGGUCCACCGCGGCGGGAGUAAUAAAGGUUUCGGUACCUAAAACUUUUUUUAUGGGGAAAAAACAAAUUUGAAAGUAACUAUGCACGUCUGCAGGCUCCAUAAUAGGAAGCCCACGCCAAAUCCGGGC
rnacentral:rRNA from 1 species